CCCGGGAGCGGGGGACCACCAGGUUGCCUAAGGAGCGGUGAACCGGCCCAGGUCGGAAACGGAGCAGGUC
rnacentral:miRNA from 14 species